rnacentral:rRNA from 1 species
AGGACGAACGCUGGCGGCGUGCCUAAUACAUGCAAGUAGAACGCUGAAGAGAGGAGCUUGCUCUUCUUGGAUGAGUUGCGAACGGGUGAGUAACGCGUAGGUAACCUGCCUUGUAGCGGGGGAUAACUAUUGGAAACGAUAGCUAAUACCGCAUAACAAUGGAUGACACAUGUCAUUUAUUUGAAAGGGGCAAUUGUUCCACUACAAGAUGGACCUGCGUUGUAUUAGCUAGUAGGUGAGGUAAUGGCUCACCUAGGCGACGAUACAUAGCCGACCUGAGAGGGGUGAUCGGCCACACUGGGAACUGGACGACACGGGCCCAGACCUCCGACGGGAGGCAGCAGUAGGGAUCUUCGGCAAGUGGGGCAACCUGACCGAGCAACGCCG